rnacentral:rRNA from 1 species
AGUGAACGCUGGCGGUAGGCCUAACACAUGCAAGUCGAACGGCAGCACGGUAAGAGCUUGCUCUUACGGGUGGCGAGUGGCGGACGGGUGAGGAAUACAUCGGAAUCUACUUUUUCGUGGGGGAUAACGUAGGGAAACUUACGCUAAUACCGCAUACGACCUACGGGUGAAAGCAGGGGAUCUUCGGACCUUGCGCGAUUGAAUGAGCCGAUGUCGGAUUAGCUAGUUGGCGGGGUAAAGGCCCACCAAGGCGACGAUCCGUAGCUGGUCUGAGAGGAUGAUCAGCCACACUGGAACUGAGACACGGUCCAGACUCCUAAGGGAGGCAGCAGUGGGGAAUAUUGGACAAUGGGCGCAAGCAUGAUCCAGCCAUACCGCGUGGGUGAAGAAGGCCUUCGGGUUGUAAAGACCUUUUGUUGGGAAAGAAAAGCAGCAGGUUAAUACCCCGCUGUUCUGACGGUACCCAAAGAAUAAGCACCGGCUAACUUCGUG